rnacentral:lncRNA from 1 species
CAUGGCUCUGCCAUUUCCUGGAUGAGUGAUCUUGAGAAGUCCCUGAGACUUGAGUUUCUCACCUCAGCAACAAGCCUAAUGAGAAGAACAUCCUAUCAGGGCUUUAGUUAAGGUUUGUGUUUUCAGUUGCCACCUGUCUUCUUGGAUAGAAACGACGCUGUUUCUACAAAGCUGCUGGGUUUCUCUGGGAGCAGGAGCUUCUGAACCUUGCGUGUGACUGCCGUCCUCAGUUCAGUCAAGAGAUCAGUCAGCAAGUCGCCCUUUGCUCUCCUGCGAUGGUUGCCACCUCUCGUUUUCACAAGAAAGAUAAAGCAAAUGAGUCAGCCCCUCGGACCCUUCCAGAUUGGCACGCGAUGCUCUAGCUAACCUCAGCUUAGCUGUAGCUAAAGAGAGUUCAAAAAAAGCCUUCAGAAACCCUUCUUCCAGAAAGACAGACACACAUCUGGCUUCCUUCUUUUUUUCUCUUCUGCCUCUUAUUGGCUUUCCGGAUUUUUUUAACUUUUUAAAAACACCAAAGUCUGAUUUUUAUAUAUAGUAGCCUGUGAUCUUCCCCUUUAAGUAAAACAAAGGAAAAUACCCACCGUUUACCUUGUCAAAAACCGUUAAUGCUGUUUUGACCUUAAUGGAGAGCAGAGAGGCACAAAACCAGAAAUGGCUGAGGAAAAUUAGACUUGAGAUGAAAGCCAUGCAUUCACCUGAAGAUGGUUCAGCGGCUGAGUAUUCCGUGCAUGGCACCGCUGCUGGCAGCCUUACCCAAGGACACAUGCACAAAAUGUGUGUGAUAUUUUGAAUUCCAGUCUAUCUGAUGGAGCAUUUUAAACAUUCGCAGAUCUAUAUUCAUAGAUCUGUCUGCGCUUUUUAAGUUCUCAAAAAUGUCAAAGCCAAGAAAGGGUUUGACUUUCAAAGAGAGAAGUUCUUGCCUACAGCUAGCAUUUUCUCCUACCCUCAGAGCAAAACCGCGGCUGGUAGAUAUUUAUGUCCCUCCCUCCCUCCUUAUGUAUAAUUUCUGACAGAGAUAUGUGUAUACACACAUCUGUGUUCAUUUUUCCAGAUGAAAAACUUGACGUACAGAGACUAAGGAAAGACACAGAGUCACGGGAAUAGGGAUGAUCACCUGAUCCCCUUAAAGGUGUUUUCUGUUACAGCGGGAGCUGGAGCUAAAUAAUAAAUGUAUUAUAAUGAUUUGAAUAAAAAUCAUUCUCAAAUAUAA